AAUGGGGGCAACCCUGAUCCAGCCAUGCCGCGUGAGUGAAGAAGGCCUUCGGGUUGUAAAGCUCUUUCGGCCGGGAAAAAAUCGCCUCUCCUAAUACGGGGGGUGGAUGAUGGUACCGGACUAAGAAGCACCGGCUAACUACGUGCCAGCAGCCGCGGUAAUACGUAGGGUGCGAGCGUUAAUCGGAAUUACUGGGCGUAAAGCGUGCGCAGGCGGUUUUUUAAGACAGGCGUGAAAUCCCCGGGCUUAACCUGGGAACUGCGCUUGUGACUGGAAGGCUAGAGUACGGCAGAGGGGGGUGGAAUUCCACGUGUAGCAGUGAAAUGCGUAGAGAUGUGGAGGAACACCGAUGGCGAAGGCAGCCCCCUGGGCCGAUACUGACGCUCAUGCACGAAAGCGUGGGGAGCAAA
rnacentral:rRNA from 1 species